rnacentral:lncRNA from 1 species
UAAAACAGAACAGAAUGAAAUGGAGCGGGACAGAAAAUAUCAUAGUUCAUCAGCCAUAAUAAGAGCAUUAAGUUUCCUUCUACAAAAGGCCACGGGCUCCCUCCCUAUCCGGGCAGGCUGCGGGGGUCCUGCGGCAGGUGGACACGCGUGUGUGAAGGGAGGCGGCCGGUCGUGCGUCUCACCUCGGCAGCCAGGAAGGAAUUCUAAGUCAUCACUUGUGCGAUGGCCGCGGAUGCCCAGGAGGAGGAUCCCAGUGGAAUGGAGGUGGGCUGCGUGCAGCCUCGGGUGGGAGAUAGUGUCACAUGUGUGCAGAAAUCCGCCACCGUCUCCUUUUCGCACUGCCCAGAAGCUGCCUGUAAGCACAGGUUUCAGAAGCUGGAGGGAGGGAGCUGACCGUGCCGACGCCCGUCUGGGCCUCUUAGGACCUGGCAGUUCUCCCUGCAACUAA